UGUGUGUGUGUGUGUGUGUGUGUAUAUGUAUAUAUAUAUAUACACAUACAUACACACACACACACACACACACACA
rnacentral:miRNA from 1 species